GCUUAGAAGCAGCCACUCAUUCAAAGAGUGCGUAAUAGCUCACUGGUCGAGUGACAAUGCGCCGAAAAUAACCGGGGCUAAAACCUUACACCGAAGUUUAGGGAUAGAAGUAAUUCUAUCGGUAGAGGAGCAAUGUAUGCGGGCUGAAGCGAUACCGUAAGGAGUCGUGGACUGCAUACAAGAGAGAAUGCCGGCAUGAGUAGCGAGAGUGGGGCGAGAACCCCCACCGUCGAAAGUCUUAGGUUUCCUGGGGAAGGUCCGUCCUCCCAGGGUUAGUCGGGAGCUAAGCUGAGGCCGAAAGGCGUAGGCGAUGCACAACAGGCAGAUAUUCCUGUACCACCGAAUAACGAUAAAGAGCUGAUGCAGUGACACAGUAGGAUAGUGAAAACACGGAGAUGGAAAGCCGUGGCCAAAUCAUGAGGGGUCUAAAUAGUGAAGUACGUUUAGAGUGCACCCUGGGUGAUGAUGGGGAGUGAAAUUUAGUAACGAAGUUCAUGAAUUCACACUGGCGAGAAAAGCUGCUAGGUAGUUAUUAGGUGCCCGUACCGCAAACCGACACAGGUAGACGAUGAGAGAAUCAUAAGACGAACGGGAUAACCCUUGUUAAGGAACUCGGCAAAAUGACCCCGUAACUUCGGGAGAAGGGGUGCCACCGCGAGGUGGUCGCAGUGAAACGGCCCAAGCAACUGUUUACCAAAAACACAGGUCUCUGCAAAAUCGUAAGAUGAUGUAUAGGGGCUGACGCCUGCCCGGUGCUGGAAGGUUAAGAGGAGAGGUUAGCGCAAGCGAAGCUUUGAAUUUAAGCCCCAGUAAACGGCGGCCGUAACUAUAACGGUCCUAAGGUAGCGAAAUUCCUUGUCAGGUAAGUUCUGACCCGCAUGAAUGGCGUAAUGAUUUGGGCACUGUCUCAACAGGGGACCCGGCGAAAUUGAAGUAUACGUGAAGAUGCGUAUUACCCGCGACUAGACGGAAAGACCCCGUAGAGCUUUACUGUAAUUUGGCAUUGGGAUCCGGAAUUGAAUGUACAGGAUAUGUGGGAGGCAUUGAAGCAGUGGCGUCAGCUGCUGUGGAGCCGUCCUUGGGAUACCACACUUUUGAUUUUGGGUUUCUAACGUUGCGCAGUUAUCCUGGCAACGAACAGUGCCUGAUGGACAGUUUGACUGGGGCGGUCGCCUCCAAAAGAGUAACGGAGGCGCACAAAGGUUCUCUCAGGAUGGUUGGAAACCAUCUUCAUAGAGUGUAAAGGCAGAAGAGAGCUUGACUGUGACACCUACAAGUGGAACAGAUACGAAAGUAGGUCUUAGUGAUCCGGCGGUUGAGUAUGGAAUUGCCGUCGCUUAACGGAUAAAAGUUACCUCGGGGAUAACAGGCUGAUC
rnacentral:rRNA from 1 species